CAAAAAUGUCUCACCCAAUUCCAACACUGAAGUUGCGAUUUGGGAACCAAUUUUCUCCAAAAACACUCGGUCUCCAUCGACUCCGAAGGUGAAAUCUUUCUCGACUACUCCCUAAUCCCCCAAAAUCAAUCUUUAGCGAAUUUGAAGCACCCCAAAGGGCGGUUGUUGAAUCGAUUAAAUGGAGAGAUUGCUUGAAGGUAAUUCAGAAAAUUUUUCCCUUUUUGUAUUUUCCAUCACUGGCUUUGUAGUGCAAACUGGUUUUGUUGUUCUUACUGAGCUGUUGUUCAAGGCUCCAAUUUUCAAUACUAAAGUGCAAUCCAUUCCAGAUCUUAGGGCAAACUGGUUUUGUUGUUUGCAUCCUGCCAUGCUCUAAUUUCAUUAACAUCACUCGUGCAGUCUUUCGUUUUAUGCAUAAUGAAGCUUCCCGCAUGCUAGCUGCGUUUUAGUUUUUACAGCACCAUAAUUCAUUAAUGGAUGCAGUACAAUUUCUGUUUCGGAGGAAAGAACAAGGGAAUUUGCCACUGUUACAGAGAACCAGGCCACCAAUUUUUGGUAUUCCCAAAGAAGCAGCAAUGUCCAGAUUGUGCCGAAGGCAUCAUAACAUGGAUGGAAUUAGAAAGGACGAAGAACAUGGUUUGAUUAUUCUUUUGUUGCACAAGAAAUUGUGAGUUCUUUGAAUAGAGCAAAUUCCUACCCUCACAAACGUAAACCAUUACAAGAUGAAGGUCAGUUAAAUGUUGUUAAAGACGAACGAAAAGGCUAUCCAAUCAAAGAUCAUUCCAGUUUGUUCAAGAAUGAGGCUAAAAUUACAGAAUAACGAGAGUCAAGAUAUUCCUCAAAAUAAGCUUCUGCAAGAGUAAAGGUGACACGGAAGACAGUGGGAAAGAAAGGGGAAGGGAGUCGUGAAUGUAUUCCACUUAUUGUUGACGACAAAACGAAAAGAACUAGAUUUUCAUUUCCUGUUUGUGUAAUGAUAACUAUACAUUUCAUGCUGUUACUUUCAUGUUUCUUGGUGUUGAUAAACUAGGAAUAAUUUGUUGUACUUGAUGUUUGAAGUUGUGAUGAUGUUAAACCGUGUUCGAUUUUAUCUAGUAUCGAGUAUGUGUUCAUAUAUGGUUUAUACACCAG
rnacentral:lncRNA from 1 species